GUGAGGAAUAUUGGUCAAUGGGCGCAAGCCUGAACCAGCCAUGCCGCGUGCAGGAAGACGGUCCUAUGGAUUGUAAACUGCUUUUAUUUGGGAAUAAACUCCGGUACGUGUACCGGCCUGAAGGUACCAAAUGAAUAAGCACCGGCUAACUCCGUGCCAGCAGCCGCGGUAAUACGGAGGGUGCAAGCGUUAUCCGGAAUCAUUGGGUUUAAAGGGUCCGCAGGCGGUCUUAUAAGUCAGUGGUGAAAGCCUACAGCUCAACUGUAGAGCUGCCAUUGAUACUGUAGGACUUGGAUUCGAUCGAAGUGGGCGGAAUGUGACAUGUAGCGGUGAAAUGCUUAGAUAUGUCACAGAACACCGAUAGCGAAGGCAGCUCACUAGGUCUGGAUUGACGCUCAGGGACGAAAGCGUGGGGAGCAAACAGGAUUAGAAACCCUUGUAGUCC
rnacentral:rRNA from 1 species